UACGUAGGUGGCGAGCGUUGUCCGGAUUUACUGGGCGUAAAGGGAGCGUAGGCGGACUUUUAAGUGAGAUGUGAAAUACUCGGGCUCAACUUGAGUGCUGCAUUUCAAACUGGAAGUCUAGAGUGCAGGAGAGGAGAAUGGAAUUCCUAGUGGAGCGGUGAAAUGCGUAGAGAUUAGGAAGAACACCAGUGGCGAAGGCGAUUCUCUGGACUGUAACUGACGCUGAGGCUCGAAAGCGUGGGGAGCAAACAGG
rnacentral:rRNA from 1 species